rnacentral:rRNA from 1 species
CCUACGGGAGGCAGCAGUAGGGAAUUUUCGUCAAUGGGCGCAAGCCUGAACGAGCAAUGCCGCGUGAACGAGGAAGGUCUUCGGAUCGUAAAGUUCUGUUGAAGGGGAAAAAGAGCGGAGAGAGGAAAUGAUCUCUGAUUGAUAUUACCCUUCGAGGAAGUCACGGCUAACUACGUGCCAGCAGCCGCGGUAAUACGUAGGUGGCGAGCGUUAUCCGGAAUGAUUGGGCGUAAAGGGUGCGUAGGCGGCCUGCUAAGUCUAGAGUGAAAGGUACCGGCUCAACCGGUACAGGCUCUGGAAACAGGGGGGCUAGGGAGGAGGAGAGGGCGGUGGAACUCAAUGUGGAGCGGUAAAAUGCGUAGAUAUAUGGAAGAACACCAGUGGCGAAGGCGGCCGCCUGGCCUGUUGACUGACGCUGAGGCACGAAAGCGUGGGGAGCAAAUAGGAUUAGAUACCCUUGUAGUC